GGGAUACCUGGGGUCCUCGAAGCACCUGUUAGCAGUUUGGCUAGUGGUUUCAAGAAAAGCCGCAGCAGGGAUGGACUCGAUACAGAGGAACGCACUGUUAUGAUCAGAAGCAGACACAGACGGCAGCCUCACCACGGGAACCAAGACGCACAACUCGAUGACACUUCUGAGCCAAUGAGCACAGCACUGAUGACUGGAGGGCAUGCAUAUAAGAUGCUCCUGUUUAACAUCUGACUUCCUCCAGCCAUGGAGCGAGAACAUAAAGAUCUGCCUUCCAAAACAGUAGCAUAA